GACGAACGCUGGCGGCGUGCUUAACACAUGCAAGUCGAACGGAAAGGCCCUGCUUUUGUGGGGUGCUCGAGUGGCGAACGGGUGAGUAACACGUGAGUAACCUGCCCUUGACUUUGGGAUAACUUCAGGAAACUGGGGCUAAUACCGGAUAGGAGCUCCUGCUGCAUGGUGUGGGUUUGAAAGUUUCGGCGGUUGGGGAUGGACUCGCGGCUUAUCAGCUUGUUGGUGGGGUAGUGGCUUACCAAGGCUUUGACGGGUAGCCGGCCUGAGAGGGUGACCGGCCACAUUGGGACUGAGAUACGGCCCAGACUCCUACGGGAGGCAGCAGUGGGGAAUAUUGCACAAUGGGCGGAAGCCUGAUGCAGCAACGCCGCGUGCGGGAUGACGGCCUUCGGGUUGUAAACCGCUUUCGCCUGUGACGAAGCGUGAGUGACGGUAAUGGGUAAAGAAGCACCGGCUAACUACGUG
rnacentral:rRNA from 1 species